GUCACUUGACAUAUCGCGACUUGAUAAUGGGCCAUCUAAAUCUAAGGGUUGGAUGGAGCCUCUAACUCAUAUGCCUUUUCAUGAAUUAUUUUAUGGAUUAUGUGUUGGAAAAAGACCAAUUUGGAUUGAGUUCUAUCAUAUAAUGGUUGAACACUAGACUUAGCUUGUAUUACGUUAUGGAUUAUAUAAGAGGGUAUCCAUCCGUGGAUCGUGAGGAGGAUUCCCUAUUAGGUCUUGUAAGAUGGUCUCAAUACUUCAUGAAAGGCGGAAGAUAAGCCAUUGACUUGGGGUGUAACACCCUUAAUUUUGGAUGUAAAGAUUCCUUUGCUUUCUACUUAAAAUUCAGAUGUUACACUCUUUUUUUCUUGUUUUUCCUUUUUUUUCUAAAUAAUCGAGAGUUAUUUUGUAUACAUGUAGGUGUUAAGUUUAGUAGAAUAAAACCCUAGAAAAAAACUUUGUGUGUUGCAUUUUAUGCCGAAGCAUAUUUUUUGGUUGC
rnacentral:lncRNA from 7 species